UACGUAGGGGGCAAGCGUUGUCCGGAAUCACUGGGCGUAAAGCGUGCGUAGGCGGUUGCGUGUGUCUGGAGUGAAAGUCCAAGGCUCAACCUUGGGACUGCUCUGGAAACUGCGCAACUUGAGUGCUGGAGAGGCAAGGGGAAUUCCACGUGUAGCGGUGAAAUGCGUAGAUAUGUGGAGGAAUACCAGUGGCGAAGGCGCCUUGCUGGACAGAUACUGACGCUGAGGCACGAAAGCGUGGGGAG
rnacentral:rRNA from 1 species